AUCGGCUUAUAAAUUGGUAACUCUGAUAGUAAUAAUAUCACACACCGAGGUCGAGUUUCCAAUACCUCGUAAAUAUAAACUGAACGACACCUAACAGGUACGAUAGGUGGAGAGGAGACGUUACAAUGGUACAAUGUACCUAUUAUCACGACAUCGUCCGACGUACGAUAUCAGUUACACGAAUCAUCUUUAAGAGCUCUAAUCACGCCAUAUCGUCGUUAUAAGUAAAGGCCGCACCAUUGUAUAAAAGGACGCACUGAUGCUUCAUUCCGGCAUAACGCAAUUUUCGUGCAAAUAUAAACUUCUUAUUUCACUCUAAUCCUCAAAAAACCAAUCAAAAAUCAAAAAUGGGUGCCGAAAAAGUAACCAUGAACAUCGUCGUCGUCGGACAAGUCCAAUCUGCCAAGGCCAUCAAAUCGGUCGCCAAAGCCACCCCAGCCACCAGCCAAUUGAUGAACUGUUAAUUCAUGAAGUUCACGUCAAUCUCAAACU